rnacentral:rRNA from 1 species
AUUGAACGCUGGCGGCAGGCCUAACACAUGCAAGUCGAACGAGUGGCGGACGGGUGAGUAAUGUAUGGGAAACUGCCCGAUGGAGGGGGGUAACUACUGGAAACGGUAGCUAAUACCGCAUACCAUCGGAUGUGCCCAGAUGGGAUUAGCUAGUAGGUGGGGUAACGGCUCACAUAGGCGACGAUCCCUAGCUGGUCUGAGAGGAUGACCAGCCACACUGGAACUGAGACACGGUCCAGACGCCUACGGGAGGCAGUAGGGGGGAAUAUUGCACAAUGGGCGCGAGCCAGAUGCAGCGAAGCCGCGUGUAUGAAGAGGGCCUUCGGGUUGUAAAGUACUUUCGGCGAGGAGGCGUUACUCGCAGAAGAUGCACCGGCUAACUCCGUGCCAGCAGCCGCGGUAAUUC